rnacentral:rRNA from 1 species
UACGUAGGGGGCAAGGCGUUGUCCGGAUUUAUUGGGCGUAAAGGAGCGUGUAGGCGGCUUUGCAAGUCCGUUGUGAAAACUCGAGCUCAACCUCGAGACGCCGGUGGAAACUGCAAAGCUAGAGUCCGGAAGAGGAGAGUGGAAUUCCUGGUGUAGCGGUGAAAUGCGCAGAUAUCAGGAAGAACACCUAUGGCGAAGGCAGCUCUCUGGGACGGUACUGACGCUGAGACGCGAAAGCGUGGGGAGCGAACAGG